AGAGUUUGAUCAUGGCUCAGAACGAACGCUGGCGGCGUGCCUAACACAUGCAAGUCGAGCGAGAAAGUCCCUUCGGGGGCGAGUAGAGCGGCGGACGGGUGAGUAAUACAUGGAUAAUCUCCCCUCGAGUUUGGGAUAACGUGCGAAAGUGGGGCUAAUACCGGAUAAGACCACAUGACAUAUGUCACGGGGUAGAAGGUGGCUUAUAUUUAUAUGAGCUAUCACUUGAGGAUGAGUCCACGGCCUAUCAGCUUGUUGGUGAGGUAAGAGCUUACCAAGGCUAUGACGGGUAGCUGGUCUGAGAGGACGACCAGCCACACUGGGACUGAGACACGGCCCAGACUCCUACGGGAGGCAGCAGUGGGGAAUAUUGGGCAAUGGGCGAAAGCCUGACCCAGCGACGCCGCGUGGGUGAUGAAGGCCUUCGGGUUGUAAAGCCCUUUCGUGCGGAAAGAACAGCCCUGUAGUUAAUACCUGCAGGGUUUGACGGUACCGCAGGAAGAAGCACCGGCUAACUCCGUGCCAGCAGCCGCGGUAAUACGGAGGGUGCAAGCGUUGUUCGGAAUUAUUGGGCGUAAAGGGCGCGUAGGUGGUUGUGAUAGUCAGAUGUGAAAUCCUUUGGCUUAACUGAAGAACUGCAUCUGAAACUUCACAACUCGAGUACAGGAGAGGGAAACGGAAUUCCCGGUGUAGAGGUGAAAUUCGUAGAUAUCGGGAGGAACACCAGUGGCGAAGGCGGUUUCCUGGCCUGAUACUGACACUGAGGCGCGAAAGCGUGGGGAGCAAACAGGAUUAGAUACCCUGGUAGUCCACGCGGUAAACGGUGAACACUAGGUGUGGGAGGUGUAAUACCUUCUGUGCCGAAGCUAACGCGUUAAGUGUUCCGCCUGGGAAGUACGGCCGCAAGGUUGAAACUCAAAUGAAUUGACGG
rnacentral:rRNA from 1 species